rnacentral:SRP_RNA from 1 species
UGCUAGAUGGGGAGUUAGCGGUGCCCUGUAACUUGCAAUCCGCUAUAGCAAGAUUGAAUUCCCUACCGAGGCUUUAACUCUGUGUGGCCUGCCUUAGGCAAGUGAUGUUGAGAGUUGGGUCCCAUGCAAUGGAAGUCUGUGAACCUGGUCAGAUCUGGAAGGAAGCAGCCAUAAGUAGAUCCUUUCAUGUGCCAUGGUCAAAUCUGGCUUGAGUUAACUACUUGAGUAACGCACAUGGAUUAUCGUCGGAGUAGGGUGCAUG